rnacentral:rRNA from 1 species
UCGAGAAUUUUUCACAAUGGGCGCAAGCCUGAUGGAGCGACGCCGCGUGGGGGAUGAAUGGCUUCGGCCCGUAAACCCCUGUCAUUCGCGAUCAACCCUUAUUAUUUAAAAGAUGAUGAGUUGAUAGUAGCGGAAGAGGAAGGGACGGCUAACUCUGUGCCAGCAGCCGCGGUAAUACAGAGGUCCCAAGCGUUGUUCGGAUUCACUGGGCGUAAAGGGUGCGUAGGUGGUGGCGUAAGUCGGAUGUGAAAUCUCGGGGCUUAACUCCGAAAUGGCAUUGGAAACUGCGUCGCUUGAGGGUCGGAGGGGGGACUGGAAUACUUGGUGUAGCAGUGAAAUGCGUAGAUAUCAAGUGGAACACCAGUGGCGAACGCGAGUCCCUGGACGACUCCUGACACUGAGGCACGAAAGCUAGGGGAGCAAACA